AGGGAAUUUUGCGCAAUGGGCGAAAGCCUGACGCAGCGACGCCGCGUGAGGGGAGACGGCCUUCGGGUUGUAAACCUCUGUCCAUGGGGAAGAUGGUGACGGUACCCGUGGAGGAAGCCCCGGCUAACUACGUGCCAGCAGCCGCGGUAAUACGUAGGGGGCGAGCGUUGUCCGGAAUUAUUGGGCGUAAAGGGUGCGUAGGCGGCAUGCAAAGUCACCUGUGAAAAACCUCGGCUUAACCGGGGGCUUGCAGGUGAAACUAGUAUGCUUGAGUGCAGGAGAGGAGAACGGAAUUCCUGGUGUAGCGGUGAAAUGCGUAGAUAUCAGGAGGAACACCAGUGGCGAAGGCGGUUCUCUGGACUGUAACUGACGCUGAGGCACGAAAGCUGGGGGAGCAAAC
rnacentral:rRNA from 1 species